rnacentral:rRNA from 1 species
AUGAACGCUGGCGGCGUGCCUCAUACAUGCAAGUCGAGCGAACAGAUGAGGAGCUUGCUCCUCUGACGUUAGCGGCGGACGGGUGAGUAACACGUGGAUAACCUACCUAUAAGACUGGGAUAACUUCGGGAAACCGGAGCUAAUACCGGAUAAUAUAUUGAACCGCAUGGUUCAAUAGUGAAAGACGGUUUUGCUGUCACUUAUAGAUGGAUCCGCGCCGCAUUAGCUAGUUGGUAAGGUAACGGCUUACCAAGGCAACGAUGCGUAGCCGACCUGAGAGGGUGAGCGGCCACACUGGAACUGAGACACGGUCCAGACUCCUACGGGAGGCAGCAGUAGGGAAUCUUCCGCAAUGGGCGAAAGCCUGACGGAGCAACGCCGCGUGAGUGAUGAAGGUCUUCGGAUCGUAAAACUCUGUUAUUAGGGAAGAACAAAUGUGUAAGUAACUAUGCACGUCUUGACGGUACCUAAUCAGAAAGCCACGGCUAACUACGUG